rnacentral:rRNA from 1 species
GACGAACGCUGGCGGCGUGCUUAACACAUGCAAGUCGAGCGGUAAGGCCCUUUCGGGGGUACACGAGCGGCGAACGGGUGAGUAACACGUGGGUGACCUGCCCUCAGCUCUGGGAUAAGCCCGGGAAACUGGGUCUAAUACUGGAUAUGACUCCAUGACGCAUGUUGUGGGGUGGAAAGCCUUGUGCGGCUGAGGAUGGGCCCGCGGCCUAUCAGCUUGUUGGUGGGGGAUGGCCUACCAAGGCGACGACGGGUAGCCGGCCUGAGAGGGCGACCGGCCACACUGGGACUGAGACACGGCCCAGACUCCUACGGGAGGCAGCAGUGGGGAAUCUUGCGCAAUGGGCGAAAGCCUGACGCAGCGACGCCGCGUGAGGGAUGACGGCCUGGU